rnacentral:rRNA from 1 species
AGCAGCCGCGGUAAUUCCAGCUCCAAUAGCGUAUAUUAAAGUUGUUGUGGUUAAAAAGCUCGUAGUUGAACCUUGGGCCUGGCUGGCCGGUCCGCCUCACCGCGUGUACUGGUCCGGCCGGGCCUUUCCCUCUGUGGAACCCCAUGCCCUUCACUGGGUGUGGCGGGGAAACAGGACUUUUACUUUGAAAAAAUUAGAGUGCUCCAGGCAGGCCUAUGCUCGAAUACAUUAGCAUGGAAUAAUAGAAUAGGACGUGUGGUUCUAUUUUGUUGGUUUCUAGGACCGCCGUAAUGAUUAAUAGGGACAGUCGGGGGCAUCAGUAUUCAAUUGUCAGAGGUGAAAUUCUUGGAUUUAUUGAAGACUAACUACUGCGAAAGCAUUUGCCAAGGAUGUUUUCAUUAAUCAGGAACGAAAGUUAGGGGAUCGAAGACGAUCAGAUACCGUCGUAGUCUUAACCAUAAACUAUGCCGACUAGGGAUCGGACGAUGUUAUUUUUUGACUCGUUCG